rnacentral:rRNA from 1 species
UACGAAGGGUGCAAGCGUUAAUCGGAAUUACUGGGCGUAAAGCGUGCGCAGGCGGUUCUAUAAGACAGAUGUGAAAUCCCCGGGCUCAACCUGGGAACUGCAUUUGUGACUGUAGAGCUGGAGUGCGGCAGAGGGGAUGGAAUUCCGCGUGUAGCAGUGAAAUGCGUAGAUAUGCGGAGGAACACCGAUGGCGAAGGCAAUCCCCUGGGCGCACUGACGCUCAUGCACGAAAGCGUGGGGAGCAAACAGG